rnacentral:misc_RNA from 1 species
UUUCCGUAGGUGAACCUGCGGAAGGAUCAUUAGUGAAUUGAAUAUGUUAGCGGACCUCUUCGGAGUCCCUAGCAUCAAAUCAUAUCCAUAACACCUGUGAACUGUAAGGCUGUCUUGAAAACGAAAGUGAUUAGAGCGCCUGCCCAUUUUAUCAAACAUUAAAGUAACAAACGUAGUCUUAUUAUAGUCUAAUAAAACUUUCAACAACGGAUCUCUUGGCUCUC